rnacentral:rRNA from 1 species
GAUGAACGCUAGCGGCAGGCCUAAUACAUGCAAGUCGAACGAAGCAGCAAUGCUUAGUGGCGCACGGGUGCGUAACACGUAUGUAACCUACCUUUUACUGGGGGAUAACUUCUCGAAAGAGAAGCUAAUACCGCAUAAUACAUUAAAGUCACCUGAUUUAAAUGUUAAAGAUUUAUUGGUAAAAGAUGGGCAUGCGUCCAAUUAGCUAGUUGGUAGUGUAACGGACUACCAAGGCUACGAUUGGUAGGGGUCUGAGAGGAUGGUCCCCACACUGGUACUGAGAUACGGACCAGACUCCUACGGGAGGCAGCAGUAGGGAAUAUUGGGCAAUGGACGAAAGUCUGACCCAGCCAUGCCGCGUGCAGGAUGAAGGCCCUCUGGGUUGUAAACUGCUUUUGACAGGGAAGAAAUACACCAUGCGUGGUGGGCUGACGGUACCUGUAGAAUAAGCACCGGCUAACUCCGUGCCAGCAGCCGCGGUAAU